AUUGAACGCUGGCGGCAUGCUUUACACAUGCAAGUCGAACGGUAACAGGCCGCAAGGUGCUGACGAGUGGCGAACGGGUGAGUAAUGCAUCGGAACGUGCCCAGCCGUGGGGGAUAACUACUCGAAAGAGUAGCUAAUACCGCACACGAUCUAUGGACGAAAGCGGGGGUCCGGAAGGCCUCGCGCGAUUGGAGCGGCCGAUGUCAGAUUAGGUAGUUGGUGGGGUAAAGGCUCACCAAGCCCACGAUCUGUAGCUGGUCUGAGAGGACGAUGGGCCACACUGGGACUGAGACACGGCCAAGACGCCUACGGGAGGCAGCAGUGGGGAACGUGAGACAACGGGCGCAAGUCUGAUCCAGCAAUGCCGCGUGUAGGACGAAGGCCUUCGGGUUGUAAACUGGUUUUGUACGGAACGAAACGGCUCUGGUUAAUACCCGGGGUGAAUGACGGUACCGUAAGAAUAAGCACCGGCUAACUACGUG
rnacentral:rRNA from 1 species